GUCCUUGUCGAUUAGUGGUUAGAUCAUCACGUUGUGGUUGUACUGCAAGACCGUGAAGACGGAGGCUCGAAUCCUCCCUGGGACA
rnacentral:tRNA from 1 species